rnacentral:rRNA from 1 species
GAUGAACGCUGGCGGCGUGCCUAAUACAUGCAAGUCGAGCGAACGGACGAGACGCUUUCCUCUCUUACGUAAGCGGCGGACGGGGGAGUAACACGUGGAUAACCCACCUAUAAGACUGGGAUAACUUCGUGAAAACGGAGCUAAUACCGGCUAAUAUUUUGAACCGCAUGAUUCAAAAGUGUAAGACGGUCUUGCUGUCACUUAUAGAUGGAUCCGCGCUGGAUUAGCUAGUUGGUAAGGUAACGGCUUACCAAGGCGACGAUGCAUAGCCGACCUGAGAGGGUGAUCGGCCACACUGGAACUGAGACACGGUCCAGACUCCUACGGGAGGCAGCAGUAGGGAAUCUUGCGCAAUGGGCGAAAGCCUGACGGAGCAACGCCGCGUGUAUGAUGAAGGUCUUCGGAUCGUAAAACUCUGUUAUUAGGGAAGAACAGAUGUGUAAGUAACUGUGCACAUCUUGACGUUACCUGAACAAAAAGCCACGGCUAACUACGUG